rnacentral:rRNA from 1 species
AGAGUUUGAUCCUGGCUCAGAGCGAACGCUGGCGGCAGGCCUAACACAUGCAAGUCGAGCGCCCCGCAAGGGGAGCGGCAGACGGGAGAGUAACACGUGGGAACGUGCCCUUCAGUUCGGAACAACCCAGGGAAACUUGGGCUAAUACCGGAUACGUCCGUAAGGAGAAAGAUUUAUCGCUGAAGGAUCGGCCCGCGUCUGAUUAGCUAGUUGGUGAGGUAACGGCUCACCAAGGCGACGAUCAGUAGCUGGUCUGAGAGGAUGAUCAGCCUCACUGGGACUGAGACACGGCCCAGACUCCUACGGGAGGCAGCAGUGGGGAAUAUUGGACAAUGGGCGCAAGCCUGAUCCAGCCAUGCCGCGUGGAUGAUGAAGGCCCUAGGGUUGUAAAGUCCUUUCGGCGGGGAAGAUAAUGACGGUACCCGCAGAAGAAGCCCCGGCUAACUUCGUGCCAGCAGCCGCGGUAAUACGAAGGGGGCUAGCGUUGCUCGGAAUCACUGGGCGUAAAGCGCACGUAGGCGGCUUUUUAAGUCAGGGGUGAAAUCCUGGAGCUCAACUCCAGAACUGCCCUUGAUACUGAGAAGCUUGAGUCCGGGAGAGGUGAGUGGAACUGCGAGUGUAGAGGUGAAAUUCGUAGAUAUUCGCAAGAACACCAGUGGCGAAGGCGGCUCACUGGCCCGGUACUGACGCUGAGAUGCGAAAGCGUGGGGAGCAAACAGGAUUAGAUACCCUGGUAGUCCACGCCUUAAACGAUGGAUGCUAGCCGUUGUCGGGUUUACUCGUCAGUGGCGCAGCUAACGCAUUAAGCAUCCCCGCCUGGGGAGUACGGUCGCAGAUUAAAACUCAAAGGAAUUGACGGGGCCCGCACAAGCCGGUGGGAGCAUGGUGGUUCAAUUCGAAGCAACGCCGAGAACCCUUACCAGCUCUCUGGACAAUGGUCCCC